rnacentral:rRNA from 1 species
AGAGUUUGAUCAUGGCUCAGGAUGAACGCUGGCGGCGUGCUUAACACAUGCAAGUCGAACGGUGAAGGAGAGCUUGCUCUCCGGAUCAGUGGCGAACGGGUGAGUAACACGUGAGCAACCUGCCCCGGACUCCGGGAUAACAGUUGGAAACAGCUGCUAAUACCGGAUACGAGCUGCGAAGGCAUCUUCAGCAGCUGGAAAGAACUUCGGUCCGGGAUGGGCUCGCGGCCUAUCAGCUUGUUGGUGAGGUAACGGCUCACCAAGGCGUCGACGGGUAGCCGGCCUGAGAGGGUGACCGGCCACACUGGGACUGAGACACGGCCCAGACUCCUACGGGAGGCAGCAGUGGGGAAUAUUGCACAAUGGGCGCAAGCCUGAUGCAACAACGCCGCGUGAGGGACGACGGCCUUCGGGUUGUAAACCUCUUUUAGCAGGAAAGAAGCGAAAGUGACGGUACCUGCAGAAAAAGCGCCGGCUAACUACGUGCCAGCAGCCGCGGCAAUACGUAGGGCGCAAGCGUUAUCCGGAAUUAUUGGGCGUAAAGAGCUCGUAGGCGGUCUGUCGCGUCUGCUGUGAAAACCCGAGGCUCAACCUCGGGCCUGCAGUGGGUACGGGCAGACUAGAGUGCGGUAGGGGAGAUUGGAAUUCCUGGUGUAGCGGUGGAAUGCGCAGAUAUCAGGAGGAACACCGAUGGCGAAGGCAGAUCUCUGGGCCGUAACUGACGCUGAGGAGCGAAAGCGUGGGGAGCGAACAGGAUUAGAUACCCUGGUAGUCCAA